rnacentral:rRNA from 1 species
AACGAACGCUGGCGGCAUGCCUAACACAUGCAAGUCGAACGAGACCUUCGGGUCUAGUUGCGCACGGGUGCGUCACGCGUGGGAACCUGCCCUUAGGUUCGGAAUAACUCCCCGACGGGGGUGCUAAUACCGGAUAAUGUCUUCGGACCAAAGAUUUAUCGCGCUGGGAUGGGCCGGCGUUGGUUUAACUAGUUGGUAGGGUAAAAGCCUACCAAGGCGACGAUCCAUAGCUGGUCUGAGAGGAAGAUCAGCCACACUGGGAGUGAGACACGGCCCAGACUCCUACGGGAGGCAGCAGUGGGGAAUAUUGGACAAUGGGCGAAAGCCUGAUCCAGCAAUGCCGCGUGAGUGAUGAAGGCCUUAGGGUUGUAAAGCUCUUUUACCCGGGAUGAUAAUGACAGUACCGGGAGAAUAAGCUCCGGCUAACUCCGUG